AAACUAACAAGGAUUCCCCUAGUAACGGCGAGUGAACCGGGAAGAGCUCAAAUUUGAAAUCUGGCGUCCUCAGGGCGUCCGAGUUGUAAUCUAUAGAGGCGUUUUCCGUGCCGGACCGUGUCCAAGUUCCUUGGAACAGGAUAUCAAAGAGGGUGACAAUCCCGUACUUGACACGACGACCGGUGCUCUGUGAUACGUCUUCUACGAGUCGAGUUGUUUGGGAAUGCAGCUCAAAAUGGGUGGUGAGUUCCAUCUAAAGCUAAAUAUUGGCGAGAGACCGAUAGCGAACAAGUACCGUGAGGGAAAGAUGAAAAGCACUUUGGAAAGAGAGUUAAACAGUACGUGAAAUUGUUGAAAGGGAAACGAUUGAAGUCAGUCGUGACCGAGAGGCUCAGCCGGUUCUGCCGGUGUAUUCCCCUCGGUCGGGUCAACAUCAGUUUUGUCCGGUGGAUAAGGGCGGUAGGAAGGUGGCACCCUCGGGUGUGUUAUAGCCNGCCGUCGCAUACAUCGGGUGAGACUGAGGAACGCAGCUCGCCUUUAUGGCCGGGGUUCGCCCACGUCCGAGCUUAGGAUGUUGACAUAAUGGCUUUAAACGAC
rnacentral:rRNA from 1 species